rnacentral:rRNA from 1 species
UACGGAGGGUGCGAGCGUUGUCCGGAAUCACUGGGCGUAAAGGGCGCGUAGGCGGCUCAAGCAGCGUGUGGUGAAAGCUCGGGGCUCAACCCCGAGUCGGCCGUGCGAACUCUUGGGCUGGAGUGCUGUAGAGGCGGGCGGAAUUCCGGGUGUAGCGGUGGAAUGCGUAGAUAUCGGAAGGAACAUCAGUGGCGAAAGCGACUUCCUGGACCAAUACUGACGCUCAUGUGCGAAAGCGUGGGGAGCAAACAGG